UGCUUUCAUCUGCUUGUGUCUUUGAGUUUUUAUUUAUCUUUUUCCGAGCUGGAUCAGUCGUAACCCUGAGCUCUGCUUUUAACCUAUGAGCCAAGCUUCCGACCUACUUAGGUAAUGAACAAGGCUGGUCUCUAUCAUCGGGUGAGAGGUCCAAGUGGAGCCCGGUCUUAUGGUUUGAGCGAGUUGGAUUUGUUCUAUGC
rnacentral:lncRNA from 1 species